rnacentral:lncRNA from 1 species
GUGAUGAGAGAGGAAAGGAAGGAGCCGAACGCGGAAGUGGUGGCGGCGCCUGGGGAGCAGGCGGAGGCGGUGACUGCCAAGUCUGAGACAGGAACCUUGCGUUGAGGGGAGGGGAAGGCGGGGGUUGGCAGAAGGGCAUCCGCCUUCUAGGACCGACACGCGGUGCGGGAGCAGCCGGGCCUCCUUGUCUCCGCUUCCACGAGCGCCCCGAGUGAUGGCGACGGUGAUGGCGGCAGUUUCUCCGACAGCCUGGAUGAAGCUGCGCUCCGGGAGAUUGAAUUGGUCUCAGAAUAAAAGAAGUGGCAAAAAUGUGAAAAUGCACUUGUUCUAGGUAAUGGAAGUAUAUCUUUUCCCUCUCAUUGUUCUGAACAUCUCAUGUAUUAUUUAAUAAGCAAAUAUUGA